UACGUAGGGUGCGAGCGUUGUCCGGAAUUAUUGGGCGUAAAGAGCUCGUAGGCGGUCUGUCGCGUCUGCUGUGAAAACCCGAGGCUCAACCUCGGGCCUGCAGUGGGUACGGGCAGGCUAGAGUGCGGGUAGGGGAGAAUGGAACUCCUGGUGUAGCAGUGAAAUGCGUAGAGAUCGGGAGGAACAUCAGUUGCGAAGGCGGCUCUCUGGACCAGUACUGACGCUGAGGCACGAAAGCGUGGGGAGCAAACAGG
rnacentral:rRNA from 1 species